rnacentral:lncRNA from 1 species
CUGUAACGUAUAGUUGUCAAAGCAGUAUGAGAUUGAACUUUCAUGAAGAGAAAAGAUCUAUCACAGAAGUCGAUAUAUAGUAAUAUGAGUAGGUAGAUGAAAACAUAUGACCUGGGAUACUUGUGCUAUCCUAUAGAUAACUGACUCAUUAAGACCAUCGAUCCAAAAUGUUUAUGUCUAAGUUAUUGAUUAUAUAUCCAUCAAGUCCAAUCCGAUGGAUAAUUGACCCAUUAACAACCAUUGAUCCAAUAUAUCCACUUCCUAUUCAAGAUUAAACUUGGGGUACGCCCCUCUCCAUGUCUCAAUGCGAUUCUGACAUCAUAUGUCAUGAUCCGAUUUGACCCAUUAUCUUUGUUGAGUAUAGACCAAUGGCCCAAAAAUGCUCAAGGCUAAUGAUCAAUCAUGCCCUUACAUGUUUAUUCAAGUCUUAUCCUUUUCCGACGUGGGACUAAACGGCAGUGUUACAUCUCCAAGAAAAUGAAAAGCUCACAUAAGGAAACCCAGUUUUAACACAAGCACAAAUUUAAUUACCAACAUUGUCAAGUUCGAGAAGAUUCCAUGAAGAUGAAAGAUAAGACUGUGAUCAAGUAUCAACCUGAUGUCAACUCUCUUAAGCUAGUGACAAAUCCAAAUUUAGAUAGAAAGGAGUUUGUGCUAACAUCUACAAGGUUUGUUGGCUAUAGGAAGAUUUAGUUUAACUUAGUUCAUUCAUUAAAUAAAAAAAAAUCAAAAUUCACCUAAACCUGAAAAUAAAUUAAACAAAAAAAGUUGCAACAAUUAAAUAUCACCUACUUAACAGUCCAAAAUAUACUCAUCAUCUUAACAUGCAUUUUAUUUGGAGAACUCUAAUACUUGAAAACCUAUGGAUCUCAACCAUGGAUUGUAGAUAUGAGUUACUCCUCAACUGACAAGUGAAAAAAAAAAAAAACUGACAAGUGGAAUGAGAGUGGCUCAACAUGUGAGCUUUAAAAUGGAUAAUAAACAUAUAUUCAAUGACUAAGUUGAAAAAAGUAGCUUUCUAACAGUGUACAAAGUUUGAGUGAUGUUUAAAACUCACAAGAGUUUGCUCCAAUUUCAACCAAAAUUAUUGAUACGGAUUAAAAAGUUCAAU